rnacentral:misc_RNA from 1 species
AAGAAGAAGAAGAAGUGCAUGCUAUUAGAAUUAAAUUAAUCUUUCAUUUGUUUGGCAAAGGUCCAGGGAGCUGAUGCUGGAGUGAGAAGGAAACACUAUUUGCCUUUCUGGCUGCUCUUUCCAAGAUCUUUUCAGUGCUAUCUGUUACUACAAUAAUUAAACAACCCAAACAUUUGUGUUUAUGAAUAGCUAGGGAGACUUAAAAGCUUGUUUUGUGUUCACCACUAAUGUACAUAUACUAUAUAUAUGGAUCUAGAUUAUCUUGUACACACAUGUUUUCUACGUGGUUUCAUAUGACCUUAUACAUGAUUUUUU